UACGUAGGGGGGCAAGCGUUGUCCGGAAUUAUUGGGCGUAAAGAGCGUGUAGGCGGCCAUACAGGUCAGCUGUGAAAACUCGAGGCUCAACCUCGAGCUGUCGGUGGAAACCGUGUGGCUAGAGUCCGGAAGAGGAGAGUGGAAUUCCCGGUGUAGCGGUGAAAUGCGCAGAUAUCGGGAAGAACACCCGUGGCGAAGGCGGCUCUCUGGGACGGUACUGACGCUGAGACGCGAAAAGCGUGGGGGAGCGAACAGG
rnacentral:rRNA from 1 species